UACGUAGGGUGCAAGCGUUGUCCGGAAUUAUUGGGCGUAAAGAGCUCGUAGGCGGUUUGUCGCGUCUGGUGUGAAAACUCGGGGCUUAACCCCGGGCCUGCAGUGGGUACGGGCAGACUAGAGUGCGGGAGGGGAGAGUGGAAUUCCUGGUGUAGCGGUGAAAUGCGCAGAUAUCAGGAGGAACACCGGUGGCGAAGGCGGGUCUCUGGGCCGUAACUGACGCUGAGGAGCGAAAGCGUGGGGAGCGAACAGG
rnacentral:rRNA from 1 species